rnacentral:rRNA from 1 species
GAUGAACGCUGGCGGCGUGCCUAAUACAUGCAAGUCGAGCGAACGGACGAGAAGCUUGCUUUUCUGAUGUUAGCGGCGGACGGGUGAGUAACACGUGGAUAACCUACCUAUAAGACUGGGAUAACUUCGGGAAACCGGAGCUAAUAUCGGAUAAUAUUUUGAACCGCAUGGUUCAAAAGUGAAAGACGGUCUUGCUGUCACUUAUAGAUGGAUCCGCGCUGCAUUAGCUAGUUGGUAAGGUAACGGCUUACCAAGGCAACGAUGCAUAGCCGACCUGAGAGGGUGAUCGGCCACACUGGAACUGAGACACGGUCCAGACUCCUACGGGAGGCAGCAGUAGGGAAUCUUCCGCAAUGGGCGAAAGCCUGACGGAGCAACGCCGCGUGAGUGAUGAAGGUCUUCGGAUCGUAAAACUCUGUUAUUAGGGAAGAACAUAUGUGUAAGUAACUGUGCACAUCUUGACGGUACCUAAUCAGAAAGCCACGGCUAACUACGUGC